UGCAAAGUAUGUAGUACGUAAUAGAACUUAUUUUCACAAAAUCUUACACAUGCUCUCUUCACAUCCAACCACUUAUCAACAAACACAUCACAUUCAGGAUUGGCCGACAGAAGGGCGUUGAGCAA